AGAUUUGGCUUGUUUGUUGUUGAGGUCACAGAGGAACUAAACAGUCGCUAGUUAUCAACUACUUAGAUCAGGACUGAUCAGCAACAUAAGUAAGGAUGAAGGCUCUUCAUCUUUCCAAGAAGUGGAGCGCUACAGGGUCUCUCAGUGAAGAAAGUGUUUCUGUUCUGCUUACGAGCUAAGAAAUGCACAACAUGAGUCAAUUCUCCAGAGACCUGAGUGUUUUGAAAGACUUCCUGCACAUACAUGCCAG